rnacentral:tRNA from 1 species
GAAGGUUUAGCUCAGUGAUAGAGCAUGUGCUUAGCAUGCACAAGAUCCUGGGUUCAAUGCCCAGUACUUCCA